rnacentral:rRNA from 1 species
UACGUAGGGGGCGAGCGUUGUCCGGAUUUAUUGGGCGUAAAGAGCGUGUAGGCGGCCAGGUAGGUCUGCUGUGAAAACUCGAGGCUCAACCUCGAGACGUCGGCGGAAACCAUCUGGCUAGAGUCCGGAAGAGGAGAGUGGAAUUCCUGGUGUAGCGGUGAAAUGCGCAGAUAUCAGGAAGAACACCCGUGGCGAAGGCAGGUCUCUGGGCCAUAACUGACGCUGAGAAGCGAAAGCAUGGGGAGCGAACAGG